rnacentral:rRNA from 1 species
AAAUUGAAGAGUUUGAUCAUGGCUCAGAUUGAACGCUGGCGGCAGGCCUAACACAUGCAAGUCGAACGGUAACAGGAAGAAGCUUGCUUCUUUGCUGACGAGUGGCGGACGGGUGAGUAAUGUCUGGGAAACUGCCUGAUGGAGGGGGAUAACUACUGGAAACGGUAGCUAAUACCGCAUAAUGUCGCAAGACCAAAGAGGGGGACCUUCG